UGGGGAAUAUUGCACAAUGGGGGGAACCCUGAUGCAGCAAUGCCGCGUGGGUGAAGAAGCACUCCGGUGCGUAAAGCCCUGUCAGCAGGGAAGAAAAUGACAGUACCUGGACAAGAAGCCCCGGCUAACUACGUGCCAGCAGCCGCGGUAAUACGUAGGGGGCAAGCGUUAUCCGGAUUUACUGGGUGUAAAGGGAGCGCAGGCGGCGUGGCAAGUCAGAUGUGAAAACCCGGGGCCCAACCCCGGGAGUGCAUUUGAAACUGCCAUGCUGGAGUGCCGGAGAGGUAAGCGGAAUUCCUAGUGUAGCGGUGAAAUGCGUAGAUAUUAGGAGGAACACCAGUGGCGGAGGCGGCUUACUGGACGGUAACUGACGCUGAGGCUCGAAAGCGUGGGGAGCAAACAGG
rnacentral:rRNA from 2 species